AAGUCGUAACAAGGUUUCCGUAGGUGAACCUGCGGAAGGAUCAUUACCAAAUCCAAAUACCCAACCCCAUGUGAACUAUUGUUUGUUGUCCUUGGGGGGGGAAACAAUUUCAGACUGAAGUCUUCGGAUAGAUGUUUGAUUUGCUACUCCCCCAAAAGAAUCCGGCACUCCGGUGCUUGUGAUUCUUGUUAAACUACAUAUUUUUGUUUCGGAAUGACUUUUAUUAAUACUAAUAAAAGACAACUUUUAACGGUGGAUCUCUUGGCUCGU
rnacentral:misc_RNA from 1 species